GACGAACGCUGGCGGCGUGCUUAACACAUGCAAGUCGAACGGUGAAGGGGUCUGCUUUUGUGGGCCCUGGAUGAGUGGCGAACGGGUGAGUAACACGUGAGUAACCUGCCCCCUUCUUCUGGAUAACCGCAUGAAAGUGUGGCUAAUACGGGAUAUUCUGGGUCUGUCGCAUGAUGGGUCUGGGAAAGAUUGCGCCUUUGGGUGUUUUUGGUGGGGGAUGGGCUCGCGGCCUAUCAGCUUGUUGGUGGGGUGAUGGCCUACCAAGGCGGUGACGGGUAGCCGGCCUGAGAGGGUGGACGGUCACACUGGGACUGAGACACGGCCCAGACUCCUACGGGAGGCAGCAGUGGGGAAUAUUGCACAAUGAGCGCAAGCCUGAUGCAGCGACGCCGCGUGAGGGAUGGAGGCCUUCGGGUUGUAAACCUCUUUCGCCAGUGAAGCAGGCCUGCUCCUUGUGGGUGGGUUGACGGUAGCUGGAGAAGAAGCGCCGGCUAACUACGUG
rnacentral:rRNA from 1 species